rnacentral:tRNA from 1 species
GGCCUGCUAGCUCAGUCGGUUAGAGCGUCGGGCUAAUAACGCGAAGGUAGUAGGUUCGAUCCCUGCGCAGGCCA